rnacentral:rRNA from 1 species
CAGCCGUAAACUAUGCGCGUUAGGUGUAUCGGUGACCACGAGUUACCGAGGUGCCGAAGGGAAACCGUGAAACGUGCCGCCUGGGAAGUACGGUCGCAAGGCUGAAACUUCAAGGAAUUGGCGGGGGAGCACCACAACAGGUGGAGCCUGCGGUUUAAUUGGAUUCAACGCCGAAAAACUCACCAGCAGCGACUGUUACAUGAAAGUCAGGUUGAUGACCUUACUAGAUUUUCAGAGAGGAGGUGCAUGGCGUCAGUGACU